UUUCAGUAGGAAACGUAUUGCCCCAGAUUUGAGAGUACAACAUUCAUAUAUUUCUUUCAAAUCAAUAUGAUUCUAAACCUUUGGGUAAAAUACAGUAUACACUUGAGAAACGUUACAAGACUGAAACCAGUCGCUAAAACAUUAAACUUAAAGUCCCACAUGAAACAUAUGACAAAUACAUCAAGUUGUUUGUUUCAACUGUUAACCACCACCAAGCAAACUUUCUUUUGCACGACAAUUAAUGUGGGUUUAUGUGGUUCAAUUGAUGCCAAUGUUCCAAUCACAGCCAGUACUCCAGUCACGCUGCACACCUGCGUUCGACUCCCUGGAUACCAUAUCUUCUUGACUUGCCCAAGCCGACACUGAACCACUGACUUCCUAACCAAUAUAACUUUAAAAUAUUAUAUCUCUAAUGAUUCAAACUAAAACGCUUAUUAAAAGCAACAAUAUUUUCAGACAUACAAACAAAUCAUAUCAGUCAUAAUGAUGGCGCGUCACAGUAUGAAGGAGCGGAUCGAUGCUCUCCUGCCAGCCACUGGUCUGCCUGUAUCAGUCCCGAUUAAAUACAGACUACUGUGGUAUAACUGGAUAUAUACCUGGAGACUAUGGGAUAUAGCUGAAUAAGCGUAAAAGUAGUACAUGUAUAUUUACUGAAAAAGGGUGGAACAACGGAUUAUAUCAUCUGGCGGGCUGGUGGGUAUGGCAGCAUACUGCCUUACAAUUGUAGGUGUUAUUUCACAUUAUCUGGUAUCAUACAUACACUACAUAGAUGGUACUCUACAACAACUACAAUUAACAACAGCAACUAUGCUCAUCCUCCUAAUAUAGAGUUACACAGAGAAAGCAAGCUGACCCCAUGGUGCACAAACAAAGAGAUAGAAUUACUAGACACAGGUAGUAUUAUGUUAUCAUUAGUAAUUACAGAGAUAAAACCAGGCCAGGCCAUACCUGCUGGUGAUUCCUUAAAUUUGAGGUAAUUAGUGUGUUUAUAUACAGAAGGCCAGCCAGACCCGGCACACAAACGAGACAGAAUCCGCCCGAUAAACAAAGGGCUAAAGAAAGCUCCGUGCACCAUGCCCAACUGUGGGGAGUUUUCUCCUUUGACGUCACGCAAUCCAGGGAUUGUCUCAAGCACACUUUCACAAUUUACCUGUUGUUUUAGUUGUAUAUUUUCUACCAGGAAAAGAGUACAAAAACGUGAUAAUAUAAACGAUAAGGGCGAACAAAAUAAAUAAAGGGGAAUCGAAAGAUUCAAAGUUUUAAGAAAACAAAUUAACACGGCUGACUUUUGAGAUGAUCUUUUAUCGUGUCAGGAACAAUGAGUUUACACAAGGUAGAGCUGACACUACAGUACUGGCGUGUCUACCUUGGUGCUAUCUGGUGCCACGGGUUCCUGAUAAAUAAUGGUAAGUCUGCAUAGAUCAGACGUUACGGCCACUCCUGUACUGGUAUACUGCUUCUGUGUCAGGAUACCUACAUUCCUGAUACUAGCUUUUUUAUUUAAUAGCUCAUUAGCACCUUUUAUGAGAAGACGUACCUGGAGAAUCCAAAUGGUCGUCGUCGUUGAUGUUUUGCCGGCAUGAUACUGGGGAACCCCGGCCUUACAAGAAACGGUCCCCAUGUUUAGGGAGCAAACACGUUGCAGAGUCUGUGAAUGUUAUUGUACGCCAAAGUCUGCAGUAUUCUAGCUAUGUGAUGGGGCAAUGCAAAUAUUCUGGGUCAUGCAAGCCUGUGAUUGACAGCAUGAGCAACGACCAACGCUGUCUUCAAAUUGUGUCACGUGAUCAGCCAGGGGACACUUUGCAGCCAUCCACCAUAUUCAGAUCAUCCGUGAGAAAACCGACUUGUGUUUUACUGACUGAACAAGAAAUAUUUUACUCAAGCAUUAGUUAUGAUAUUUCCCAAUGACCCAGACAUGUCCUUUCUGUGUCUAACCUCAAAAAGAAAGAAAUAAUUUGUCCCAAGAAAAUCAGACAGGACAAAGAAAACCUGGCAAUUUUCCAAACAACUUGGGCUAAGAAACAAAACCUCUUAGGGCACACAUACGCAGUAACAGUAUUAAAGUAACAAAGAUCCUUAUAUCUUUAAAUUAUGAUGCUGAAUAUAUUGCAUUAGGUCUGUCUGAAAGUUGGACUAGGUUCACCUGGAAGUUGAAUUCGGUUUGUCUGAAUGUUGAAUCAGUUCUGAAUGUUAACCUGAGUUCACCUGGAUCGACCAGGCAACUGUCUGAAUUUGAUUCCUUGGUCUUUCUAAAUGUUAGACUGGGUAAAUCUGAAUGUUGAAUUAGGUGAAACUGUCUGAAUGUCACUGUGGGUUUGUCUGAAUGUUGUAUCAAGUAAUUAUCUGAAAGUCUGAAUGAAUGGGUUGUCUAAAUCUAAAUGUUGUAUCAGCCGACUGUCUGAAAAUGGGAACCAUGUUACAAGAUAGUAAACUUCCCUGAAAAUGUUCCUCAGAGGUAUCACACACAUGCAAUGGAAGCCAUCUCACGUUUCCCUUCUUUCUGCAGACAUCUCAAUAAAGACAGAAUAAAGUCUCAUGCCUGAUACUGUAUCAAGGUAAUUGGCCGUUCCUCCAGGAGAUCUGGCUACGAUCAGCUAGCUACUGUUCCAUGCAGUUUGUAAUUACAAGACUAAAUCCAGCCCCGUGGGUCAACAGAGCUCCAAGGUGCGUACGCCAAACACACCAAAUCAAACACACACGUGCCGGAAUGUUCAUGUUCAUCGUGAAGUAUAUCGCUCAAAACAAGUUAAGGAACACCUGAUUCUUUCAUAUUACCCAAGUUAAUCUGUCAUGCCAUUACACAGCAAAUGACAGAAGACAACCAGAGACACAGAAAUACGAGUGUGUAUUUGUACAGCAAGGAAGGUGUUGAAAUUUCAUUCCAUGAAGAACCAAACUGGUAAAGUUUUGUACAUAGUGUACUGAGGCGGUCACACAGUAAAGGGAAGAUAACUCUUAUGGAUGGCUAAAACCUAAAUUUCAAAUGAGCAAUGGGGAAAAUAGCACUGACCUCCAAAAUUCAAAUGACACAAACAGAAACACAUUUUUGUUGCAUUAUUGUCAUUGCAUGAUGAAACUAAAAACAGGGAAAGUCCACAGUUUGUUGUAGACAUUGCUCCAUAAUGAUUGUCUUCAGGUUAUACAGUAACAGUAUAUUACUUCUUCAUACUUGACACUAUUUGGUGUACAAGAACUGUGAACAGUGUCUCAGCAAUGAAAUAUUAAUCUGAUUACAUUAAUUCAUUUUUCAUUAUUCAUUUGGGCAAGGUAUGAAGAGUUAAAUAUUUUUCUGUAAUUGCAUCAUAACUGUAUGGGUUCUGAUUGGCUGAAUGGCAUUUCCUGUUAUUUGCAAGUCAGAAACAAAAUGGAAGCAGCACAAACCACAAACUAAAUUUCUAUUCAAAUAGAAUUCAGGAUAGACUUUCUGUUUGUUCCAAAUUCUGGGAGGUCAAAUGAUGAAAUAUAUUGACACAUUUCUAAUUUGAUUAUCAUUUUUCCUCAAAAUAUUAAGUAAACAUUUUAAUUAUUACUUCAAAUUAUUUAUUUAUAUCGAUGACACAGUAAUUUGUUUUAAAUAUUUCUACCUUACGCUGACGAAAAGAAUGAAAAAUGAAUUUCUCUUUCACCUUCCAUUUUUUUCAAAUCAGCAUGUUCCAAACAAAGUUUAGAAAACUAACCCUCUCAUCACACCAAAUUCACUCUCACCUUGUCAUGGGGGUUGCCAUGCUUUAACAGUUUCGGAGCUGCAAAAAGUUCCAGAGGUACCCUGCACAGAACAGGAGAUAUGUUUUACUGGUGAUGCCUGCGGCGAUGACACUGAUAAAUGGUACAUCUUCGUAUGUAUCAUCUGCUUCCUAACACCAACAGUUGUCAUCCAAUCAACUUCUCACACUUUCUUUGCCUUUUUCUUCCCUUGUAACCAGCUAUGAUGUGUGUGGGCACUGUAAGACUUUACCAGUCCGACUCAUCCAUUGCAAACUGCAUCUAUUCCAAUUACAUAUUUUUGUUCCCCUGAUGAUUUAUAAACAUAUCCUUGACAUACCAUUUAUCAACAUGUCACAAAACAACAAACUUUGAAGGUCAGCUUACUGGCACCAAUACAAAGAUAUAUUUAUUAACAUAAUAUAUGGAAAUGUUUAUUCACUGUCAUAGUUGUGGUCAGUCAUAUGGUUGUAUAUAUUCUACUCAAAACAAAUCCAAGACCAACCAUAGCAGGAAGGUUCCACAAUAGAUUAAAUAUUCUUGUAUAAAGAGACUGGAUAUUCUUUAACUUAUUUUGAGUGGGGUAGGUAGAAAGCCAUCUUAGUGCUAUGGUUACAGUAUUACCAUGUUAAAGUAAGGAAGUUCAGAUCAUAUUAGAGCUAAGAGCUUGUUUGG
rnacentral:lncRNA from 1 species